rnacentral:rRNA from 1 species
UGGGGAAUUUUGGACAAUGGGCGCAAGCCUGAUCCAGCCAUGCCGCGUGCGGGAAGAAGGCCUUCGGGUUGUAAACCGCUUUUGUCAGGGAAGAAAUCUUCUGAGUUAAUACCUCGGGAGGAUGACGGUACCUGAAGAAUAAGCACCGGCUAACUACGUGCCAGCAGCCGCGGUAAUACGUAGGGUGCAAGCGUUAAUCGGAAUUACUGGGCGUAAAGCGUGCGCAGGCGGUUUUGUAAGACAGAGGUGAAAUCCCCGGGCUCAACCUGGGAACUGCCUUUGUGACUGCAAGGCUUGAGUGCGGCAGAGGGGGAUGGAAUUCCGCGUGUAGCAGUGAAAUGCGUAGAUAUGCGGAGGAACACCGAUGGCGAAGGCAAUCCCCUGGGCCUGCACUGACGCUCAUGCACGAAAGCGUGGGGAGCAAACAGGAUUAGAUACCCUGGUAGUCCACGCCCUAAACGAUGUCAACUGGUUGUUGGGAAGGUUCCUUCUCAGUAACGUAGCUAACGCGUGAAG